CAGCCGCCACGGUAACACGUAGGGUGCAAGCGUUAAUCGGAAUUACUGGGCGUAAAGCGUGCGCAGGCGGUUAUAUAAGACAGAUGUGAAAUCCCCGGGCUCAACCUGGGAACUGCAUUUGUGACUGUAUAGCUAGAGUACGGCAGAGGGGGAUGGAAUUCCGCGUGUAGCAGUGAAAUGCGUAGAUAUGCGGAGGAACACCGAUGGCGAAGGCAAUCCCCUGGGCCUGUACUGACGCUCAUGCACGAAAGCGUGGGGAGCAAACAGGAUUAGAUACCCGCGUAGUCCCUGUCUCUUAUAA
rnacentral:rRNA from 1 species